rnacentral:rRNA from 1 species
CCUACGGGAGACAGCAGUCGAGAAUCAUUCACAAUGGGGGAAACCCUGAUGGUGCGACGCCGCGUGGGGGAAUGAAGGUCUUCGGAUUGUAAACCCCUGUCAUGUGGGCGCAAAUUAAAAAGAUAGUACCACAAGAGGAAGAGACGGCUAACUCUGUGCCAGCAGCCGCGGUAAUACAGAGGUCUCAAGCGUUGUUCGGAAUCACUGGGCGUAAAGCGUGCGUAGGCUGUUUCGUAAGUCGUGUGUGAAAGGCGCGGGCUCAACCCGCGGACGGCACAUGAUACUGCGAGACUAGAGUAAUGGAGGGGGAACUGGAAUUCUCGGUGUAGCAGUGAAAUGCGGAGAUAUCGAGAGGAACACUCGUGGCGAAGGCGGGUUCCUGGACAUUAACUGACGCUGAGGCACGAAGGCCAGGGGAGCGAAAGGGAUUAGAUACCCGGGUAGUC